rnacentral:lncRNA from 10 species
UUUAAGUUCUGCCAGUCAGACGUGCCCAGAUGAAAUGUGGAAGGGGAAGUGAGUCAGAGCUCAUGUUUUCUGGGGCUGCUGUUUCUCCGGCAGCACCAUCAUGGUUGUGUCAGGGUUUUCUGUGGCAAGUACGGAUGGUGGCCACUUUCUAAUUAUAUCACUUCCUGAUCUUGGUGGCUUCCUGAUCACCAACGAGGCAGCAGUUUCCUUGGUGCCCUGGUGUUCAAGCCACUCCUGAAAGCUCAAUCUAGUGUCUGUUUCUUCAGCUCUCCUGGUAAUUUUGAUGACAGGCCAGGACACUCUGGAUGCCAUCCUCAGUGUGUCUAGGCUGUGACUCUGACUUUCUGGGCCAGGACCAGGGCCUUACAGUGCAGGAGAAAGACAGAGAUGUGGAAGCUUCAUGGGGAGGCUUUAAAAACAGGUGAGCCAAGAUUUGGAGGAACCACUGGGAUGCUCACUCGUGGCCAUGACAUCAGCAUUCCAGGAGGGCAGCUCCACAGAUAAGUCACUCCUGAUACUGCUGGCAGCUCACCAUCAGGAACAAUGCACUGAAAUGCAUACGGCCUUUGUAAUGCGCAUUUACAUUGAUCUAACCACUUUCUGGGAAACUCACAACAGUCCAUGGGUGUGAUUAUUGUUAUUUCCAUAUUGCAGAUGAUGGAGCUAAGGCCCCAGGAGGUUAACUGACUUGCCCAAGGCCAUAUUGCCUGUAUGUGAUAUAGCUGGGAUUCAAAUCCAGGUAGUUUGGUUUGAGAGUCCACACUGUUAAUCAUCGCUUCCCGGCGCACUGCUUUUAGCUGAACUCAACGUGCCAACGAUUACCGUAGCUAAAAGUAACAAUAGCAAAGGAGGCUAGGAAAUGCUUACCUCCCUAAAAGUUUUAUAGUGAACUUCAUGUGAAUCAUGUUAUCACCCAGACUGCACGUGAUCUCAACAUUUUAAAAAUAUGCCUGUAGAAAGGGGAUUUUAAAUUGGAAAAGAUGAGUCCUUCCCAUUACUUUAUGUUUCAGAGUUGGAAGGAAUACAAGCUUUCUGAGGAAGGCAGCGCUGUGGCUCCAAUGGCCUGGAGCUCCAUUUUGUCUCGGUAGCCACCCUGGAAUGGUGGGUCAGAUGGUAGAGAGGCUUAGAGGCUCAGUAAAGAAGUUUGGGCUUGGCACUGAGUCCCUGGAGAUUUUCAAGUGGAGACAGAUGGGAUGAACUAAUGUUCUGCUACAAUCAGGCUGACAGUGCAGAGUGCAGGGUGAAGGGAGAUGGAAGAUGGAGAGGCCAAUGAGAAGGCUGCUGCACAUGAGGAGGAGGCUGGGCUAGGAUUGAAGGAGAGGGAAUGAAAAGAUGGUGAUGGCCUCAGAAAUGAAAGGAAAAGCCACAGGGCUUGUGAUUAAUUGGAUCCUGGGGUGGGAGAAGCAGACAUGGAGGUUUUCAGCCAGAAGCAAGAGAAUCAAGAAGAAAAAGGGAUGGUUUUGAGAGAAACAAUAUUCAGACCCACUGAAUUUUAGGAGAGAUAGGGGCACUAAGUUGCAAGGCUAAUAGGUAGUAGGAGAUCUUGUGCUGGGACACAGAGAAUAACUCAAGCUUGUGGUUUAGUAGAGAAAUGGAAAUUGCAGCAUUGAGAAUUAGAGGAGGUUGUGAGAGGAGGGCUGAGAACUAAGAGGUAACUCCAGCAUCAACAAGGGUGAAGGUGGAGAGCCUCUCAUAGAGCCUGGCAGGAAAACCACUGGUGACAUUUGAGAGUACAGUCCAGGUUCCCCAGAGAAAGAGAACCAGUAGGGCAUGUGUGUGUGUGUGUGUGUGUGUGUGUGUGUGCAUAUUGAUAUACACACACAUAUACAUAUAUAAAGAAAUUUAUCAUAAGAAAUUGGCUCACAUGAAUAUGAAGGCUAAGUCCCAAGAUCUACAGUCAGCAAGAAGGAGACCCAGGAGAGUCAAUGUGUAGUUCCAGUGAGAGUCCAAAUACCUGAGCAUAGUACAAAUUUCAGUCCAAAAGCUAGCAGACUUAAGACCUAAGAAGAGCCAAUGUUUCAGUACACAUUUAAAGGUCAGAAAAAGCCAAUGUCCCAGCUCAGAUAGCCAGGCAGGAGAAGCUCCCUCUUGGCCUUUUUGGUCUGAAUUUUUGGCCUUCCACUGAUAGGGUGAGACCCACUCACAUUAGGGAGGACAAUCUGCUUUACUCAGUCCACCAAUUCAAAUGUUAAACUCAUCCACAAACACCCUCAUACACACACCCAAGAUAAUGUGUGGCCAAAUGUCUGGGCACCCUGUAGCCCAAUCGAGCUGAUACAUAAAAUUCAUCACCACAGUGCCAUGAAGUUAGCUUGUGGAAGGCUAAUGAAGAAAUGUGUGGUAGGGAAAAGGAUGCAGGAAGACACAGACGACCCACUUGAGAAUGCUGUCAGCCAAAAGAAGCAGAAAAAUCUGAAUGGGCAGCAGGGUUACCCAACAUUUCUUUACAUGAUAAAAGAGACCUUCUGACUUGAUGCUUUUAUGCUAAUCCAUGUAGACAUUUGUUCUGUCAUUCCUUUUCCCCCAGCUUAUUAAAUUGAAUAUAUAAUUUUCCAUUCUAAUUAUAUUUUCCCAAAGGUAACUUUAAAGUAGUUUGCAUUUUUGGCAGGCAUGCCAACUAUUGGCAGAAGCAGGUGGCUCAGAAGGGCUCUGGGGCAAAGGAAUAAUCCAGUUCAUAAUCUAAAAUGUGCUGUGGAUAAAGAUGCAUGCCACUUACAAGGAUAUUAUCAAAGUUAAUUUUUCUGUGUGAUUCGUGGCUUUUCAACAUUGGUGCAGAAGAAUGGAUGUUUCCUGUCAGCGUCUUGACCGCCUUAGUGUUCACUUAAAAGAAAUACAGGGAAGUACACCUUUCAGGCAUUGGUGCGAGAUGGGUCAGAAAGGAGCCAAAGAACCCGCAGUUGUGUCAGCUGGGGCAGGUGGUAAGUUGGCUGAGGCACAGUGACAUGUCCUUGCAUUGGUCCCCAUCUGAUCAGUGCAAUGAUCACAAUGGAGGACUUGAGACUCUGCAGAAUGUUAAGUGUAAAGAGUGAUGAAAUCCUUUUUGAGCGUGCAAACUGUUUGCUAGAAUCCUAGUUCCAUGUUUCACCAGCGUGGCUGCCUUUUCUCCACACACCUCCGCUCUUAGACAGAUCCCACAUAGCCAGUGGGCCUGGACACUCAGCCCCGGUGAGCCCUCUUCCUGGAAACCCCAUAUCUUCCAUCACUUAGUCUCUUAAAGAAGAGCGUACAAAUAGCCCUCAAAUAGCGCUUGUGUCCAGAAAGCGACAUGCACAGCAUGCCUGUAUCUCUACUCCAAGCAUCCCAGGUAGGUUGGCUUUGCAUGAUAUGUAAGUUGCUGCCAAACAUGCCCAUUAGCUGUCAUUUCUCACUGACUUCACUGUUUUCUUACUUUUAUUUUAAAGGUCAUCUCUGUAUUUCCAGUUGAGACCCACUUAUUAAUUUACAAUGAUACUGUACAUAUAUUUUCAGUUAUUAUAUAUUGUUAUCAUAUAUAGUUAUCUAUAUAUCAUUUUGUAUAUAGAUAUCUGUAUAUAUGAUAUUAUCUGUAUAUAUUAUCCAUG